ensembl:lncRNA novel transcript
GGCAAGGCUGAGGCCCCGCCCCCGUCAUGGCGCCCGAGGAGAACGCGGGGAGCGAACUCUUGCUGCAGAGUUUCAAGCGCCGCUUCCUGGCAGCGCGCGCCCUGCGCUCCUUCCGCUGGCAGAGCUUAGAAGCAAAGUUAAGAGACUCAUCAGAUUCUGAGCUGCUGCGGGAUAUUUUGCAGAAGUAGACUGUGAAGCAUCCUGUGUGUGUGAAGCACCCGCCGUCAGUCAAGUAUGCCCGGUGCUUUCUCUCAGAACUCAUCAAAAAGCACGAGGCUGUCCACACAGAGCCUUUGGAUGAGCUGUACGAGGUGCUGGUGGAGACCCUGAUGGCCAAGGAGUCCACCCAGGGCCACCGGAGCUAUUUGCUGACGUGCUGUAUUGCCCAGAAGCCAUCGUGUCGCUGGUCGGGGUCCUGCGGAGGCUGGCUGCCUGCCGGGAGCACCAGCGGGCUCCUCAAUUCUACAUGGCCCUUACCGUCUGCAACCCAGAGAUGUGCCAGCUGUUCACCACCGAGCUAUGUGAGCCCCCACGCCCACCCGGGCCUGCAUGGUCCCCAAGCUGUCCCUACAGGACUCCAGUGGAAGUGAAAGAACUGGGGGCCGGGGAAAAGCUAGGAUGCCCCACACUCCCACACCAUGCGGGGAACUAGGGCAGAGGCCGGUGAGAAGGGUGGGCUCGGGUCGUGGGGGGAUUGUGGCAGGAGGAGGGCAGCUCAGCACAGGGAGGGAGGAUCUGAGCCCAGCAGCCCUACUGUGUGCUUCAGAGCAGGGUUCCCUAAGCCCUUGGGCCUCGGUUUCCUCAUCUAUAAAAUAGAGGUGGCAGGAGGGGCAGUCGGGGUCAGGUUUGGACACAGCUGUGGCCUGCAGGACGCUGGAGCACAGGCUGUACAGGCGGAUCCACCACGCCACUGUCCUGAGCACCCAGUCAAUGGAAGAUGAGCAGGGUGACUAUAGAGAAGGGGAACUGGCCCCGUAGUGGGCCAGCCACUGUCCUCAGACCUGACAUUUGUCAGCCCCCGCACCUGUGAGAGUGUGAUAUCAUUGUCCCAUCUCACCGACAAAGACACUAGGACACACAGAGGACAAGCAACCCCCGAGCUCCCACAGACUGCUGCCCGGCCACCUGGCUCUUGUGCCUCCACUCUACACCCAAGCCCCCCAUUGCCACCAGCCUUUGCCCCAGCUCCCCCUGAGCACAGCCCCUCCUGGCAGCCAUGUGCACAGAUGUACCCGCAGCAGCCUCUGCCUGCACACAGAGACACGGACAAGCCAGUGCCUGUCCACGUGGGGCAG